CCGACGGUGAGGGACGAAAGCUGGGGGAGCAAACCGGAUUAGAUACCCGGGUAGUCCCAACCGUAAACGAUGUGCGUUAGGUGUAUCGGUGACCACGAGUCACCGAGGUGCCGAAGAGAAAUCGUGAAACGUACCGCCUGGGAAGUACGGUCGCAAGGCUGAAACUUAAAGGAAUUGGCGGGGGAGCACCACAACAGGUGGAGCCUGCGGUUUAAUCGGACUCAACGCCGGGAAACUCACCAGAUAA
rnacentral:rRNA from 1 species